AUCAGUCUUACCAAAAACAGACUAGAUAGAUAACACUAACAGUAACAGUGGAGGGAAGGAGAAAUGGGUACGCAACAUUUACAACUGCCACUAACAUCAUCUUCUUCAUCUUCUGCUGGUCCGUCUUCCAUUUUAUCUCACCGCUACCGUUGUUCUAGCUCCACCACCACUUCACUGCCUUUCAAUCGCGCCACCACCACCACCAACCACCCUGCUAAUACUACUCUCUCUCUUUCCGUCAACCAUGUCAACCGCCGUCCCCGCCGUCGUUCGAUUCAACUCGCUCGUGUUGGUACGGAUGACUCGGUGGCUUGGGUUCCCGCUACCACUACCGCUUUUGAGGAAGAGGAAGGGGAAGACGAUGUAGAACCAGAACCUACUCCUGAGGAUCUGGAAUACAUUGCCCAAAUUAAACGAGUUUUGAAGCUGCUGAAGAAGAACAGGGACAUGCUUUUUGGAGAGGUCAAGCUGACUAUUAUGAUUGAGGACCCCAGAGAAGUUGAGAGACGAAGGUUGGUUGGAAUCGAUGAUUCUGAUGGACCAACAAGGGAGGAUUUGGCUGCUGUUUUGGAAGAAGUUAACGAAGGAAAAAUUCCACGAGAUCGUGAUGCUCUGCGUAUCCUUGCAGAGGAGAUGAUUAACUGGCCGAAUUUAGAGGCUGAACCUUCGAAGAAAACGACAAAGAACAAAUCGCUCUACGCAAAAGCAACUGAUACUGGUAUUGAUCCUGUAGUAGCUGCAAAGAGGCUCAACAUUGACUGGGAUUCAGCUGCUGAAAUUGAGCCACCAAAAACCAGUGAUGAAAGUGACGUGCCUCCAAUAUUGGGUAGCUGAGCUCCAUGCAAUGAUAUUAGACCAAGAAAAAAGCGGUGAGAACAGGACACCUAAAAUUUGGGAUAUGGAGCAUUGUACCUUGUCACCGGUUUUCCGGUCAUAAUCGGAGUUUCAGUUGUUUUGAUUUUAUUUUACAACUCCCUGCAGUAAAGAUAUGUUCAUACUUUUCUUUAUAGUGUAAAAGCUUCUUGUAUUCAUGAAUACAAUUAAUUAGGCUUACUGCUUGCCUAUCGUGUAUAUUGAGAAAAGCUUUUAGUUCUUCUGCUUA